UGUGGGCUCAGUGGUAGAGCUCUUGCCUAGCAUGCACGAGGCCCUGGGUUCAAUCCCCAGAACUACAU
rnacentral:tRNA from 1 species